CCCUUGAGAUGGGUGGUUGCAAUCUCCCCGACUCUAGGGGCUCUAGGGGUGCCUGCGAUGGCCCAGACAAACCCAUGGGAAAAAAAUAAAAUCAUAUUCUUAUUAGAAGAAGAUUAGGCCUCGAAUCAUGCCAGGUUCAACUUAGGAGAUGGUUUGCCUAGCCAGCUAACCAUAGGAGUACAUAAAAAUGCACGAUUACACAGCUGGACCGUAUCAGGCUCGAUGUCUGUCAUCAAAUCCAAGCGUGACAACAGGAAAGUCAUCAACAGGAUUGUAUUUGGUCCGGCCACCAAUGCUGUCUUCUUCCAUAACUGCUUCGUCGAGGGUGUGAUACAUCAUUAAUUAUAACAAGAAGAAUGGGAAGCAAAGAACUAUCAGAGAAGGACGCAAAGGAUAAUAAAGAACUAGCAGUGGAGUCAUUUGAUAGCAUAAAAAAGGCAAAAUCAUUGGUGGCGAGCAAGUUUCCCUCGAGUUGUAACCUGUGCAUAUGUACCUGUAAUUGCAGACAGAGAUUCUGUCGAUUUUUGGUAAGAUAUAUUUUUGUGUUUUUCCAGUUCUCAACUCAAAAAUCAAAAUUAGGGCCUCAAAUGGUAAUCCUAUUAGAAUCA